CAAAAAAAAAAAAAAAAAAAAAAAAAAAAAAAAAAAAAAAAAAAAAA
rnacentral:ribozyme from 13 species